rnacentral:rRNA from 1 species
GACGGGCCGCACAAGCGGUGGAUUAUGUGGAUUAAUUCGAUGCAACGCGAAAACCUUACCUACCCUUGACAUGCUAGGAACUUGCCAGAGAUGGCUUGGUGCCCGAAAGGGAACCUAGACACAGGUGCUGCAUGGCUGUCGUCAGCUCGUGUCGUGAGAUGUUGGGUUAAGUCCCGCAACGAGCGCAACCCUUGUCAUUAAUUGCCAUCAUUCAGUUGGGCACUUUAAUGAGACUGCCGGUGACAAACCGGAGGAAGGUGGGGAUGACGUCAAGUCCUCAUGGCCCUUAUGGGUAGGGCUUCACACGUAAUACAAUGGUCGGUACAGAGGGUUGCCAACCCGCGAGGGGGAGCCAAUCCCAGAAAACCGAUCGUAGUCCGGAUUGCAGUCUGCAACUCGACUGCAUGAAGUCGGAAUCGCUAGUAAUCGCGGAUCAGCAUGUCGCGGUGAAUACGUUCCCGGGCCUU